UACGUAGGGUGCAAGCGUUGUCCGGAAUUAUUGGGCGUAAAGGGCUCGUAGGCGGUCUGUCACGUCGGGAGUGAAAACUCGGGGCUUAACCCCGAGCCUGCUUCCGAUACGGGCAGACUAGAGGUAUGCAGGGGAGAAUGGAAUUCCUGGUGUAGCGGUGAAAUGCGCAGAUAUCAGGAGGAACACCGGUGGCGAAGGCGGUUCUCUGGGCAUUACCUGACGCUGAGGAGCGAAAGCAUGGGGAGCGAACAGG
rnacentral:rRNA from 1 species